AGGGUAGCAGGUCAUCCAAUAAAAAUAAAAGUAAAAAGAGAAGCAAAGAAAAUCUUUGACGUUGACAAUAGCCAUAAUCAAGCCAACUGUGAACACAAUUAAACUGCUGCAGAGAGUAACACAAUCAUAGAAACGUGGAUCGUUGGCAUGGUACAUAACUUUGAUGAUAGAGAGUGAAACGUGCACUUGUAAACAGGAUAUUUACCCAC
rnacentral:misc_RNA from 1 species